GACAAUGGGGGCAACCCUGAUCCAGCCAUGCCGCGUGUGUGAAGAAGGCCUUUUGGUUGUAAAGCACUUUAAGCAGUGAAGAAGACUCCAUGGUUAAUACCCAUGGACGAUGACAUUAGCUGCAGAAUAAGCACCGGCUAACUCUGUGCCAGCAGCCGCGGUAAUACAGAGGGUGCAAGCGUUAAUCGGAAUUACUGGGCGUAAAGCGAGCGUAGGUGGCUUGAUAAGUCAGAUGUGAAAGCCCCGGGCUUAACCUGGGAACGGCAUCUGAUACUGUUAGGCUAGAGUAGGUGAGAGGAAGGUAGAAUUCCAGGUGUAGCGGUGAAAUGCGUAGAGAUCUGGAGGAAUACCGAUGGCGAAGGCAGCCUUCUGGCAUCAUACUGACACUGAGGUUCGAAAGCGUGGGUAGCAAACAGGAUUAGAUACCCUGGUAGUCCACGCCGUAAACGAUGUCUACUAGUCGUUGGGUCCCUUGAGGACUUAGUGACGCAGCUAACGCAAUAAGUAGACCGCCUGGGGAGUACGGCCGCAAGGUUAAAACUCAAAUGAAUUGACGGGGGCCCGCACAAGCGGUGGAGCAUGUGGUUUAAUUCGAUGCAACGCGAAGAACCUUACCUGGUCUUGACAUAUCUAGAAUCCUGCAGAGAUGCGGGAGUGCCUUCGGGAAUUAGAAUACAGGUGCUGCAUGGCUGUCGUCAGCUCGUGUCGUGAGAUGUUGGGUUAAGUCCCGCAACGAGCGCAACCCUUGUCCUUAGUUACCAGCGGUUUGGCCGGGAACUCUAAGGAUACUGCCAGUGACAAACUGGAGGAAGGCGGGGACGACGUCAAGUCAUCAUGGCCCUUACGACCAGGGCUACACACGUGCUACAAUGGUAGGUACA
rnacentral:rRNA from 1 species